CCCCGCCCGUGCCUCUCCCUGGCUCCCCCGGCUGGUGUAGGCGGGGAUCCCCACGGCCCAGAAAAGGCUCUCAGGGUGUGAAAAGAAACGGCAACAAAGCCCCUUCUGCAGAAAAUGGGAUGGAUCUGAGCGGUGGGCCCUCUUCCUGGGGAAAUGGGAAUUAGUGUGGAGGAUUAUUUUUGAGGUCGGGUGGCCCCACGGUGCCCACACGUGCCUCCUUCUGCCCUGGGCCCCAUUGGGGAUUGCAGUGCGGGGACCCCAGCUGUCCAGGCCCCGGGUGGGUGGAGGGCUCGGGAGGCCAGAGGGCCGAGGCAGGGAUGUGAGUGCCUGCCCGCCUGCCCGCCUGCCCGCCUGCCCGCCUGCCCACCUGCCCACCGCCCUCCCUCCUGGGACAGCCGUACCUGGUGAGCAGCCCAGGCUUUGCAGGGACGUGACCAUGUUGCUGAGUCCCACAGCGGCUCUGUGCCUGGAUUCAUGGGGGAGGCUAAGGGGCUGGGGAGGCAGGUGCAGCCUAACUGCUGCCUCCCUCGGAGAUACCCGGUGUCUAGGGCCAGGGGGCGUUGGAACUUGCUUUCUAGAAAACACCCCAUGGCGGGGGGGCCCAGUCCUGUCUGAUCCUCCCAUCUCUCCUAGGUACCCAUCCACGGCUAGGGGUACGGAAGCCACAGGGGUCUGUGGGACUCCUCCUGGACAGGUGUCCCUUGUAAGCAUUACCCGGAUUGUGGGGCCCCAGGAGCCCACUCUACAAGCAGACCUUGAACCUGUGAUUUAUCAGCAAAUCGAGAAGACGCCUGGAAAUGUGCCUGGAAAGAGGACCCGACCCUGCUCUUUGGGUAGGUGGGUGGGAUCCUCCCAGAGGGCACCUGCCCAGGGGUCAGCAGGUCACGGGCACUUUCUUUCUCAAGUUUUCCAGUGUGGACAGAAGACAGGGUGGGGCCAGAUGCCCGGAACCAGUCCUGAUGGGGGGGAAAUGCCACCAGGGGUCAUCCCGUCUGCUCCCCACCCCACAGUCUCUCAGUCUCUCUUCCUGGUUGUUGUUGUUGUUGUUUUUUGUCUCAGCUAAUUGUUGGUCAAGGACACUUGGGUUUCCCUUUGCAGGACACGGGGGCCACGUCUCAGAAAGUCGGCUUCCGGCUGAGCUAAUACAAAAAGCCAGAGCUUGUCCCCGCCCCGCCCACCUCCCACCCAGCUGCCCAUCUGCCAAAGGAGACCAGCUAGCGGGCCGCACCUCACUAACUCGCCAACCCUUGAUCACGAGUAUCAUCCUUCCGUCUUUACUUUGAACGGGGCCCAAUCCUUUGCCUUUUCCAGGUCUCUUUAGUCAUUUUGGGGUAACCCUCUCAGAAUCUUCCGCGUGUCCUCCUAGAGCUGCUGACCAGACAGUGACCACUGGCCUCCAGGGAGCCCAGUCCAGCGCCCUGACCUCCCCUCCCAGCAGGACUCCCGUGAUCGCGGCCACUGGGACCUUCAGCGCCUCUUUCUGUUGUGUGUACUCAUGGCCUGGAAUCAAUGAACUUCGUGUCUGGUCCUUGGCGGAGGCCUCCUGUUUGGCUGCCCAGCCCGUGUCCUCCAUUGCUUGGGGGGGUUUCAAACCUGCUCCCGUCCCCGUCCGUGGCGCCCGACCUCUGCUGCAGCAUCCCGAUUGCAGCACCCAGACAUCGACCCAGAACAUCGUUAAGGCUUUCCCUCCAACGACCCAAAAUAAAAAGUGGCCCCUUUUUGUUCA
rnacentral:lncRNA from 1 species